GCUCCUCGCUCGCUCCCGCCCCAACCAUGCAGCCCUCCAACGCCCCCAAUCACGACGCCGCGCAAACCAUAGCGGCAUCGAGCACGACGGGGGGCCUCGCCGUCGAUUUGCCGGCCGUGGGAGCCGCUGCUCUUCCGCCGGACAAGCGCGUCUCCAAGGCCGCGAGCGAGCUCCGGCACCCCUGCCUCGCCAGCGUCUUCCCACGCCAUGGGCGCGGCCGUGAGCGCCGGAUUGAACGCGCCCACGACCUGUAGGGCCUUGCCCCUCUGCAACUCUUCCUCGAUGACGCGAGCUCGCCGGCGCCUCGUUCUGCAGCCCCUGCCUCCCCGAACUGAUGGUGGUGCUCUCCUGCCCGUGGUGGUGCUGCCGACGAGCACGUCCCCGAGCACCUGCACGACUAGCUGCUGCCGGUGGUCUUGAAGUCACUUGGUCUCCAUCAUACAACAUUGGCUGCUUCUGGCCGGCUUGCGCACACUGGAGCAGUAGUGCGUGCUCACUGACCGACUUUCGCCAUGCUGGAUGUCUACAUCUUCAAGGAAGGUGAAUGAAUGAAGCAACAUGUAGCAGAUCUGGCUACUACCGUUGUCAUGAUGCUACUAGUAGGACCUCUACUUCGAGAAGGAAGUAGGGCUCGCCUGUUGGUUGGUUCUUGUGUGGCGCCCUCGCUGCCUGUGUUCAGCACCGACGAGUCUGAAACCGGAGAGGACGCCGCUGUCCUGCUUCUUGGCUGUGGACGACCUCGAGCACGAGGUCCCCAGGGUGGACACGCUCGCCGGCAUCACCAUCAAGUUCAGGUUCAAGGUAGAGAUCAUGGCCAUGGCCAUGGAUUUGUAUCUCAACUGCUCUCUGGAGCCACCCGCCUCAAGGACUCAUUGCUCCGCCAAGAAAAUGCCUCCCUCCUCCAGGUUGUGUAUUACCUUCUCCCCAUAAAAUUCUCUUCUUUUAUUUCUUACCAGCUGGCAGCUGCUCAUGUAGUUCUGGGUGGUUAAAAAAUAAAAAUAGCCGCCGAAUAAAGUUGACUUCUACUAUAUUUUAAAUUACUUUGCAGUGUGCCACUACAAUUUAUUGGCCAAGUUGGCAGUUGCCAUCAACUGCAACUUACUCGCCUUCCCAGAAUAUUUCAACAUCACCAUUUUCACCGCUAGCUCUGCUGCUCUGACUAUUUCUUGAUAUUUCAUUGGCAUGCCUGUGAACAUGUAAUUGCUGGCGCUAACUAAGUGACAGAUUCUAUUUGCAGGACUGAGAAGCGGAGCUGGAGGUGGUCAGAGGAGGUAGCGGUGGUGGCCUUCUUCCUCUACUUCUCGGUGGUUUAGGUAGACGUGGCGUUUUGAAUGACAAAGAUCAGCACCUGCAUCUCCAACUGAUGGAACCAGAAGAGGAGGCUGAUCAUCUCCACCUUGUGCAAAGGAUUCUGCCUAAGGUAGUGAACGAAGUUUUGGGACUGAGAAGCGGAGCUGGAGGUGGCCAGAGGAGGUAGUGGUGGUGGGCUUGUUUGCUCUACUUGUGGGUGGUUCAGGUAACAGUCAGAUGAGCUGAAUUUUGGUUGUCAGCUGAUGCACGGGAGGAGGCGCCGCAGGAGCUCCACUUGCACCUGGGGUGCGGCUGCAGGGAGGACGGCGGCGAGCUCGGACGACGCGACGACUAGCUGGGGCGUGGCGGCGCGCUGCAGGCAGGACGACGACUAGCUCGGGCUCCGCAGCAAAGAGGAUGUCGACGUACGCGAGAUGAAGCGGGGCGCCACCGGACGUGGACGAAGAUGCGUAUUAUUUGUAUAUAUUUGAGGUGGUGGAGAGGAUUUUUGGUGAUGCAUGGCUAAGACGCUAAAAAGUUGAUGGAUUCUCGUUA